AACUGGUCGGGCGCUGGGCCUCUCCCCUGAUGAGCCCAUGGCAGGGCGAAACCAGUG
rnacentral:hammerhead_ribozyme from 1 species